rnacentral:rRNA from 1 species
GUCUUUUCUGUGAAGCCGGGGCGUGAGCCAUCCGGUGGAGAGAUCACUAGCGAGAAUGAUGACAUGAGUAGCGACAAAGAGUGUGAGAGACACUCUCGCCGAAAGUCCAAGGGUUCCUGCUUAAAGCUAAUCUGAGCAGGGUAAGCCGGCCCCUAAGCCGAGGCAGAAAUGCGUAGGCGAUGGGAACCAGGUUAAUAUUCCUGGGCCAGGAGAUGGUGACGGAUUGCAGGGGUAGUCAGGCCUUAUCGGAUUGGUCUGGCUGCUGAGCAGUUCCUGGAAAUAGCCCUCCACAGGACCGUACCCUAAACCGACACAGGUGGACUGGUAGAGAAUACCAAGGCGCUUGAGAGAACGAUGUUGAAGGAACUCGGCAAAAUACCUCCGUAAGUUCGCGAGAAGGAGGCCCGGUUUCCAGGCAACUGGAGGCUGGGGGCACAAACCAGGGGGUGGCGACUGUUUACUAAAAACACAGGGCUCUGCGAAGUCGCAAGACGACGUAUAGGGUCUGACGCCUGCCCGGUGCCGGAAGGUUAAAAGGAGGGGUGAGAGCUCCGAAUUGAAGCCCCGGUAAACGGCGGCCGUAACUAUAACGGUCCUAAGGUAGCGAAAUUCCUUGUCGGGUAAGUUCCGACCUGCACGAAUGGCGUAACGACUUCCCCGCUGUCUCCAACAUCGACUCAGCGAAAUUGAAUUGCCUGUCAAGAUGCAGGCUUCCCGCGGUUAGACGGAAAGACCCCGUGCACCUUUACUACAGCUUCGCACUGGCAUCAGGCCAUGCAUGUGCAGGAUAGGUGGUGGGCUUCGAAGCAGGGACGCCAGUUCCUGUGGAGCCUCCCUUGAGAUACCACCCUUGCAUUGCUUGAUGUCUAACCGCGGUCCGUUACCCGGAUCCGGGACCCUGCGUGGCGGGUAGUUUGACUGGGGCGGUCGCCUCCUAAAGAGUAACGGAGGCGCGCGAAGGUUGGCUCAGAGCGGUCGGAAAUCGCUCGUUGAGUGCAAUGGCAGAAGCCAGCCUGACUGCAAGACUGACAAGUCGAGCAGAGACGAAAGUCGGCCAUAGUGAUCCGGUGGUCCCGCGUGGAAGGGCCAUCGCUCAACGGAUAAAAGGUACGCCGGGGAUAACAGGCUGAUACUGCCCAAGAGUCCAUAUCGACGGCAGUGUUUGGCACCUCGAUGUCGGCUCAUCUCAUCCUGGGGCUGGAGCAGGUCCCAAGGGUACGGCUGUUCGCCGUUUAAAGAGGUACGUGAGCUGGGUUUAGAACGUCGUGAGACAGUUCGGUCCCUAUCUGCCGUGGGUGUAGGAUACUUGAGAGGAGUUGCCCCUAGUACGAGAGGACCGGGGUGAACGAUCCACUGGUGGACCUGUUGUCGUGCCAACGGCAGUGCAGGGUAGCUAUGAUCGGAAAGGAUAACCGCUGAAGGCAUCUAAGCGGGAAGCCCCCCUCAAAACAAGGUAUCCCCGAGGGCCGUGGAAGACCACCACGUCGAUAGGCCGGAGGUGUAAGCGCAGCAAUGCGUUCAGCUGACCGGUACUAAUGGCCCGACAGGCUUGAUUUGAGUUCAUCAAUAAGCAGAAACAGGUACUUCUUACCUGAAUACAUAGGGUUUGAAGAGCGAACCCGGGGAACUGAAACAUCUAAGUACCCGGAGGAAAGGACAUCAACAGAUACUCCCCUAGUAGCGGCGAGCGAACGGGGACCAGCCGAGCCGUGAAUGUGACCAGAACAAUCUGGAAAGGUUGACCAUAGUGGGUGACAGUCCCGUAUGGGAAGCAUGAUCGGACGUAUUAAGUAGGGCGGGACACGUGAAAUCCUGUCUGAAGAUCGGGGGACCACCCUCGAAGGCUAAGUACUCCUUGCUGACCGAUAGCGAACCAGUACCGUGAGGGAAAGGUGAAAAGCACCCCGACGAGGGGAGUGAAACAGUACCUGAAACCGAACGCCUACAAUCAGUCGGAGCCCCCUUGCGGGGUGACGGCGUACCUUUUGUAUAAUGGGUCAUCGACUUGGUCUCACGAGCAAGCUUAAGCCGAUAGGUGUAGGCGCAGCGAAAGCGAGUCUUAAUAGGGCGUAUGAGUUCGUGGGAUCAGACCCGAAACCGAGUGAUCUAGGCAUGGCCAGGCUGAAGGUUGGGUAACACCAACUGGAGGGCCGAACCCACAUCCGUUGAAAAGGAUCGGGAUGAGCUGUGCCUAGGGGUGAAAGGCCAAUCAAACUCGGAGAUAGCUGGUUCUCCGCGAAAUCUAUUUAGGUAGAGCGUCAUCCGAAUACCCCGGGGGGUAGAGCACUGGAUGGGUAAUGGGGCCCCACAGGCUUACUGAUCCUAACCAAACUCCGAAUACCCGGGAGUACUAGAUGGCAGACACACGGCGGAUGCUAACGUCCGUCGUGGAGAGGGAAACAACCCUGACCCUCAGCUAAGGCCCCCAAUUCAUGGCUAAGUGGGAAAGCAGGUGAGACGGCCAAAACAACCAGGAGGUUGGCUUAGAAGCAGCCAUCCUUUAAAGAUAGCGUAACAGCUCACUGGUCUAAAUAAGCUGUCUUGCGGCGAAGAUGUAACGGGGCUCAAGCCAUGAGCCGAAGCUAGGGAUGCACAUAGUGCAUGGUAGCGGAGCGUAGUGUGACAUAGAAAUCAAGCGCGAGAAGGGCGUUUGGUGAAUGCCUUGGCAGCAAGAGGCGAUGAAGGACGUGAUACUCUGCGAUAAGCUUGGGGGAGCCGAGAAUAGGCUUUGAUCCCAGGAUCUCCGAAUGGGGCAACCCACCUGAAUGUUUAUUGUUGUCCUGCCACUUCGUUACUUGAGGA